rnacentral:rRNA from 1 species
AAACCAGCACCUCAAGUGGUCAGGAUGAUUAUUGGGCCUAAAGCAUCCGUAGCCUGCUCUGUAAGUUUUCGGUUAAAUCUGUACGCUCAACGUACAGGCUGCCGGGAAUACUGCAGAGCUAGGGAGUGGGAGAGGUAGACGGUACUCGGGAGGAAGUGGUAAAAUGCUUUGAUCUCUCGAUGACCACCUGUGGCGAAGGCGGUCUACCAGAACACGUCCGACGGUGAGGGAUGAGAGCUGGGGGAGCAAACCGGAUUAGAAACCCCAGUAGUCC